rnacentral:rRNA from 1 species
CGUGGAGACAGGUGGUGCAUGGCUGUCGUCAGCUCGUGUCGUGAGAUGUUGGGUUAAGUCCCGCAACGAGCGCAACCCUCACCCCUUGUUGCCAUCGGGUCACGCUGGGCACUCUAGGGGAACUGCCCCGGUCAACGGGGAGGAAGGUGGGGACGACGUCAAGUCAUCAUGCCCCUUACGCCCUGGGCUACACACGUGCUACAAUGGCCGGUACAAAGGGAUGCAAGACCGUGAGGUGGAGCUAAACCCAAAAAGCCGGUCUAAGUUCAGAUUGGAGUCUGCAACUCGACUCCAUGAAGGAGGAAUCGCUAGUAAUCGCGCAUCAGCACGGCGCGGUGAAUACGUUCCCGGGCCUUGUACACACCGCCCGUCACACCACGAAAGCCAGCUGUACUCGAAGUCGCUGAG